rnacentral:rRNA from 1 species
AACGCGAAGAACCUUACCAGGACUUGACAUGCCACUUUUUCCCUGAAAGGGGAAGUUCCAGAGUGGACACAGGUGGUGCAUGGCUGUCGUCAGCUCGUGUCUUGAGAUGUUGGGUUAAGUCCCGCAACGAGCGCAACCCUUGUUUUGAAUUGCCAGUUAUGGGAAAUUCAAAAGACUGCCGGUGACAAGCCGGAGGAAGGUGAGGAUGACGUCAAGUCAGCAUGCCCCUUACGUCCUGGGCGACACACGUGCUACAAUGGCCGGGACAAAGAGAUGCAAACCCGCGAGGGCUAGCCAACCUCAAAAACCCGGUCUCAGUUCGGAUUGCAGGCUGCAACUCGCCUGCAUGAAGUCGGAAUCGCUAGUAAUCGCAGUCAGCCAUACUGCGGUGAAUACGUUCCCGGGUCUUGUACACACCG